rnacentral:rRNA from 1 species
CCUACGGGAGGCAGCAGUGAGGAAUAUUGGUCAAUGGGCUUACGCCUGAACCAGCCAAGUCGCGUGAGGGAAGACUGCCCUAUGGGUUGUAAACCUCUUUUGUCAGGGUGCAACGCCGGCUACGUGUAGCCGGACUGAGAGUACCUGAAGAAAAAGCAUCGGCUAACUCCGUGCCACCGACCGCGGUAAUACGGGGGAUGCGAGCGUUAUCCGGAUUUAUUGGGUUUAAAGGGUGCGUAGGCGGUAUGCCAAGUCAGCGGUAAAAUCGCGGGGCUCAACCUCGCUCCGCCGUUGAAACUGGCGGUCUUGAGUGGGCGAGAAGUAUGCGGAAUGCGUGGUGUAGCGGUGAAAUGCAUAGAUAUCACGCAGAACUCCGAUUGCGAAGGCAGCAUACCGGCGCCCAACUGACGCUGAAGCACGAAAGCGUGGGUAUCGAACAGGAUUAGAUACCCCAGUAGUC